UUUUCCCCUCUCUCUACAACACCUUGUCUUUCUAUGACACUCUCCCCCUCUGUCUACAACACCGUCUCACUCAGUCUAUAACCCCCUCCUCCUCUAAUUAAACCACAUGUCCUCCCCUUCUCUGCUUCUUCAACAUUUGUAAACAACAAGGUGAUGUUGUCGAGCCAUUCUCCUUAGUGUUGAAUCUCUUUUAUAUAUAUUUAUAUAUUUUCUUCCUCCACAAACUCACAAAAACACUCACCCAACCUCACAAACAUUCCCACCAACAUACAUAUAUACACCUAUAUAUUUAUUAUGAUACCUUUGAUGGAGCACACCUUCUGAAUUCUUCAACGCCUUAGAUGACCAUGUGAGGGACCCCGUUAUCUGCGAUAUUAAAUUAUUCUUCACCUGUCCAACUGAUUGGAUAG